rnacentral:rRNA from 1 species
AGUGUAUGGUGGGUAGUUUGACUGGGGCGGUCUCCUCCUAAAGAGUAACGGAGGAGUACGAAGGUGCACUCGGUACGGUCGGAAAUCGUGCCAAGAGUAUAAAGGCAAAAGUGCGCUUGACUGCGAGAGUGACGGCUCGAGCAGGUACGAAAGUAGGUCUUAGUGAUCCGGUGGUCCCGAAUGGAAGGGUCAUCGCUCAACGGAUAAAAGGUACUCCGGGGAUAACAGGCUAAUUCCUCCCAAGAGUUCAUAUCGACGGAGGAGUUUGGCACCUCGAUGUCGGCUCAUCACAUCCUGGGGCUGAAGUAGGUCCCAAGGGUAUGGCUGUUCGCCAUUUAAAGUGGUACGCGAGCUGGGUUCAGAACGUCGUGAGACAGUUCGGUCCCUAUCUGCCGUGGGCGUUAGAGAUUUGAGAAGAGUUGCUCCUAGUACGAGAGGACCGGAGUGAACGAACCACUGGCGUUCCGGUUGUUUCGCCAGAAGCAUUGCCGGGUAGCUACGUUUGGACGGGAUAAACGCUGAAAGCAUCUAAGCGUGAAGCCUCCUUCAAGAUUAGAUCUCUCUGAUGAAAAUCAGUAAGGAACGUUGGAGACUACGACGUUGAUAGGCUGGGUGUGGAAGUACAGCAAUGUAUGAAGCUUACCAGUACUAAUGAUCCGAGAGACUUAAGUCUAU